GGGUGCGAUCAUUCCAGCGUUAAUGCACCGGAUCCCAUCAGAACUCCGUAGUUAAGCGCCCUUGAGCUAGAGUAGUACUGGUAUGGGUGACUUCCUGAGAAGUCCUAGUGUUGCACCCU
rfam:Picea glauca, whole genome shotgun sequence.